AAGGUAAUCUAGUGACUCUCAAUGUGCUACUAAAGACAUUACUGGAAAGCCUCUAACGAGUGAAGCCAAAAAGAAAAUGACGACAUCUGUUGAAUUCGACGUAAUAUCACCAGACGAAGAGAAUAGUGACUUAAAAGGUUUAACGCCUAAAAGUAGAAGGAAAAACGACAGCAUGUAAGGAAGUUAAAGACAAGUUGAGUAACGUCAUUACCACAGCAGGGACUUCAACAACUUCAGGAGCGGCAAAUGUUGACCUGGAACCUAGAUCUUUAAAUGUUUUUAUCAGCACUCUCCAUUUAAUAAUUUUAAAUCAAUGUUUUCUUUACUUGAUGGACCUAGAACAUAUCUUCAAAUAUAACUUCAUGUUACCAGUAAAUAAUACUUAGCACUUUUAUAGGAACAAAAUCAGAUCCUAAAUAAUAAGAGAGAAAAAACAAAAAAAAAAAGAAAAAGAAAUGAAAAACUUCAGUAGGUAAGAAGAAUUCUCGUCAUAGGCAAUUAGGCAAGUUAAAAAAAAAACAGCAUUGUUAAAAAUAAAGUUAUUCUCUGACCCAUAUUACGGCAUACUGUCUCCCAAAAAAAUGUUUAAAACAUGUUUUUUUUUAGAGAUAUGUUUCAAACAAACUAAUUUUCUAAAAUUCUUAAAUAUUACAAAGAGUUUUAUUUUGUGUUAUCACACAAACUCUGAAGCGCAAUCAAAUUCACAAAUGUGCAACGAAUAUUCAAGCUUAUUUUUAUCAUUCAAGUAAAAAAAUAUAGUUUGGUGUUAUUGUUUUUACUUAAAAGCAAAUAGGACAUUGCAUCAUCAAUAAUAAGACUUCUCUAACUCUUCUAGCAAAAGGAUUUGAAUAAGAGCUCCUUUCGAAAGCAGAUCUGCGUUAACUGAUGUCCUUAAAACAGCACGUAAGCCUCCCAGAUACGUACCUCCCAACAAUGUCACUUAUGUCACUUUAGAUUUGGAAUAGAGACAAUAGAACACACUCUGUAUGAAUGCCAAGUUCUGCAUUAAAGACGAUAGGGACAAUGAUUUGAUAGAGAGAGAACUGGUACAUAUGCGGGCUGUCCUUGUACGGGAACAAUGCGAUAUUAAAACUCACUGCUCGCUUCCUUUCACGUGCUCUAAGGGAGUAAUUCUCAGCAUGGUUCGCUAGCAAUGGGGUUUCUGAUUCCAGUAGUCUACAGCGCAAUAAGCAGUACAGUGUUUAUUUUUACCUGCGUUAAGGGAGAAAAGUUAAGAAGCAUGAUAACGUGGUCGCAAAUGUGAUGGAGCAGAAAUAAGAUGGGGUCUGGUGGUACAACUGGACUUAAAAAGGGAAGAUAAUUAAAGUGAAAUGUGUAGAGACGCUACUAUGGUUUAGAAACUACUUCUUCGCGCUCAAGGAGAGAGUUACAAAGAAUACUAUUAACUGACCUCUUUGCUGUCUGUGUGUAUAAAGACCUUUUUGAGUUCCUGUGAUUGAAGAUAAACUGAAAUUGAAGUGAACUGUUUUGAAAACUUUA
rnacentral:sRNA from 1 species